rnacentral:rRNA from 1 species
UACACUCCUACGGGAGGCAGCAGUGGGGAAUAUUGCACAAUGGGCGCAAGCCUGAUGCAGCGACGCCGCGUGGGGGAUGAAGGCCUUCGGGUUGUAAACUCCUUUCGCUAGGGACGAAGCUUUUUUGUGACGGUACCUAGAUAAGAAGCACCGGCUAACUACGUGCCAGCAGCCGCGGUAAUACGUAGGGUGCGAGCGUUGUCCGGAAUUACUGGGCGUAAAGGGCUCGUAGGUGGUUUGUCGCGUCGUCUGUGAAAUUCUGGGGCUUAACUCCGGGCGUGCAGGCGAUACGGGCAUAACUUGAGUGCUGUAGGGGUAACUGGAAUUCCUGGUGUAGCGGUGAAAUGCGCAGAUAUCAGGAGGAACACCGAUGGCGAAGGCAGGUUACUGGGCAGUUACUGACGCUGAGGAGCGAAAGCAUGGGUAGCGAACAGGAUUAGAAACCCUUGUAGUCCCAUGAU